rnacentral:rRNA from 1 species
AUUGAACGCUGGCGGCAGGCCUAACACAUGCAAGUCGAGCGGAUGAAGGGAGCUUGCUCCUGGAUUCAGCGGCGGACGGGUGAGUAAUGCCUAGGAAUCUGCCUGGUAGUGGGGGAUAACGUCCGGAAACGGGCGCUAAUACCGCAUACGUCCUGAGGGAGAAAGUGGGGGAUCUUCGGACCUCACGCUAUCAGAUGAGCCUAGGUCGGAUUAGCUAGUUGGUGGGGUAAAGGCCUACCAAGGCGACGAUCCGUAACUGGUCUGAGAGGAUGAUCAGUCACACUGGAACUGAGACACGGUCAAGACUCCUACGGGAGGCAGCAGUGGGGAAUAUUGGACAAUGGGCGAAAGCCUGAUCCAGCCAUGCCGCGUGUGUGAAGAAGGUCUUCGGAUUGUAAAGAACUUUAAGUUGGGAGGAAGGGCAGUAAGUUAAUACCUUGCUGUUUUGACGUUACCAACAGAAUAAGCACCGGCUAACUUCGUG